UGAGAAUACUCAGAAGCUGGAGCUAGGGCCAGUUAUGUGCUGCUACUGAAGUAAAAUUGAAAACAGGAAGUGGAAAACAAGGUAGAAGUCCCUUCUUUUCUUCUGCUUUGUGAUCUCCUUCUAAUGCCUCAGAUUGGAAAACCUAACAGGAAGCCAGCUAGCUGGGAGGUGGAGAGAUUUCGUUUGCAUCAUCCCAACCCCAGGAUUACAGAGAAGAGCAUAGAAAGAUAUCUUGGAGAUCACAGAUAAAUCGCCAGCACAGACAACAUCAUGUCCAGUUAGGAGGCCAUGGCAGUAGCCCAGGAGAGAGAAGAUGAUGGCCCAGACAUUUGGUCAGGACACAAACCACAGUCAAAAAAGGUCUUCCUGAGUUCUGAAGGUCAAGCAAUUAGAAUUUUCUCAGGCUUGUAGAAGAGUGGAAUUCUGGAAACCAGUCUUCGCCUCAGGGGAGCAUCUGUUGGAAGUUCUUAGGGAUGCUCAGGCAUAUGGCCUCAGAAACAUGGGCUAUUGAGACAGAGAAAAAGACAACUCUGGAAGGAGAGAGCCUGGCCUUACAGAAGACAUCUGAACUAUCAAUCAACAGAAAUCUCACGUAUAGUUGAAGAAUCAGAAAUCUGAGCGUAGGAAGAAGUGGGUUAGCCCUGGAGAAAGGAAAAGGAGGAUCAUGGUUCUCUGCAAAGAGCUGGAAGCUAAAAAGCAGGCUGUGUUUACUUACCAACCAGGACUCAGUGGGAUCUUUGCCAGCUUCCAAUAUGG
rnacentral:lncRNA from 10 species